rnacentral:rRNA from 1 species
AUACAGAGGGUGCGAGCGUUAAUCGGAAUUACUGGGCGUAAAGCGUGCGCAGGCGGUUUGUUAAGUCGGAUGUGAAAGCCCCGGGCUCAACCUGGGAACUGCAUUUGAAACUGGCAAACUAGAGUGUGGUAGAGGGAAGUGGAAUUCCUCAUGUAGCGGUGAAAUGCGUAGAUAUGAGGAGGAACACCAGUGGCGAAGGCGACUUCCUGGACCAACACUGACGCUCAUGUACGAAAGCGUGGGUAGCAAACAGGAUUAGAAACCCCGGUAGUCC